rnacentral:tRNA from 1 species
GCCGAAGUGGUGGAAUUGGUAGACACGCUAGGUUCAGGGUCUAGUGGGGGUUCCCCCGUAGGAGUUCGAGUCUCCUCUUCGGCACCA